UCAAAAGAAAAGGCUAAUUGGUUAACUGCUUCACGUCUCUACAUCCUCUGUUCUAAACGAGAAAGUAGAUCCUCCCUUUCCUUGCUCUAUCGUGGUAGUCUUGGAAGCUUGGUUGUAUACCAAAUCGAGUGGCAUGCCCAGCACCGAAGCUUUGAAGAAGAUGCUCUCGGAGGCCAGCUCUGAGCAAGGAGGGGACGGGCUUUCAAGCCGCGGAUCUUGAGCCGCCUACCGGCUAGGUCGCAUCUUGCAGAUUCUGAUCUGGUGAGGCAGGCCACGGGAGAAUCUGAGAGAUAGCUUGUUGUUAGCUCUACUCUCCUACUCAUCGUGCCAGGAAUGAGAGAUUUGUUGUCAGGUUGGAUGACCAUCUUCUCUGUCAUUGUUGAGGCGGAGCAGUAUGGGCCGAGAGUCUGCAGGUUGAGGCGAGCUAUGGGCUUCCUCAUUGCUGGUGCUGUCAGCUUCCACCUAUGUCUUAGAGUCUUGUUUUUCUUGAAAAGUGGUGAUGUCAUAUCUUAGAAGAAGUUUUAUGACUGCCUGAUUUGCUUAGUUUCCAUGCGUCAUUCCAUGUGUCCUUGGAAGCAAACUGGAAUUACUAAUCAGGAAAAUUUUCCGAUGAUCCUUACCUCUGUAUUUCAUUGGUCGACAGGUGAUACUUUCUGGCUUCCACAAUUUUAAUAUGAUAAUGCAUAAACAGGUUUCUCAUUCUUAUUUGAUCAAUAAUUGUGUAUCAAACUCCACAUUUAUAGUAUCAUGAGUUUUAAUUCUCACAGUAACAUGCAUUGUUUGGCCCUGUCAAAUAGUUACAAUAUAUUAGUUCUUGUUCAAAACAACGGAACAAUCUGCAUGUAAAUAUAUAAUUUUUUUUGAUCCAUCGAAGCUCAUAUGCUCAUCGGUUAAGGCACUCCGAUUCUUAUACGCCAUGGUCUUUUGGCUACAAAAGCAUUCGAAAAUUGUUUGUCAAUUGAUAAUAUCUCA